AUUAUUCUCGUAUCGGGUAUUUUGUCGGCAGACGUGAGUGCAAUAUCUCUAAUGCCAAAAUGUACCUUCUGGCGCCGCAUAUGUUUAACUGGAGUUGUUAUUCUGUAACAUUAUUAUGAAGUAUUUUUACUUUUUAUUGUUAUACUAAUAUUUUAAUAUCUAAUGACGUACUUUGUUUUUGUUGUAAAUAUGCUAAAUUUUCAAUGUUUUAAUGAUUCAAAACAGACAAUACAAGUAAUACAUUGAUUAUUUUGACAGAUUUAAAAAAUUUGGUAUGUGCACAGUCAUGUUCAAAUAAAAUUGAAAAUAUUUUCAUUCAUGGAAUAAAAACUCCACAUCAUGAGUUUUAAAACUAAAUUGUGCUUUAAAAUAUAUAUUUAGAAAUCACAUCAUACUGAGUUUGUUUAUUUGAUUUAUUGUUAAUGGAAACAACACUUCAGAGUUUUUUGUGGUAUUUUGAAAUUUCAGAUUUUCUUGUGGCAUUUUGAAAGGUUAUGCAUUGGUUUUAGACACUACUCGGAUACUUAUAUAACUGUUGCGCUAAUCAAAUUGUCAUAAACGUAAAUCAUUUGGAUUGGCUGCUUAUAUAAAACAAUUAACGUCCCCUUUGGGAAUAUGUAUAAAUAGCGUGCUUAUCGAAGCCUCGCUCUUUUGGAGUAACCUAUCAAACAACAAUGGACUCGAGCAACUCUUCUACUACUAGCUGCGAUCUACGAUAUUUUCUUUGUGUCUAUCGCAUAUUUGUAUAUACUUAUUAAUUAUAAUAAAUUGAACUCGUUUUACAAUACGGCUCUUACGUAAAACAACAAUAACCAAGCUGUUAAUAAAAGUGCCAUGUUCUCACUCAGCAAGGUGGAACAGCAAGCAAAUUGUGUUUUUCUAAUCCCUGAAGAAAGACAUUUAUCAAUCCCUGCAGAAAGACAUCUAGAAAAUUAUUGAAAUAAAAAAAAUUUAUUACCU